rnacentral:rRNA from 1 species
GACGAACGCUGGCGGCGUGCUUAACACAUGCAAGUCGAGCGGUAAGGCCCUUCGGGGUACACGAGCGGCGAACGGGUGAGUAACACGUGGGUGACCUGCCCUCAGCUCUGGGAUAAGCCUGGGAAACCGGGUCUAAUACCGGAUAUGACCAUUGGAUGCAUGUCUGGUGGUGGAAAGCCAGUUACUUUUGUUUCUGGCGGCUGGGGAGUGGGCCCGCGGCCUAUCAGCUUGGGUUGGGGUGAUGGCCUACCAAGGCGGUGACGGGUAGCCGGCCUGAGAGGGCGACCGGCCACACUGGGACUGAGACACGGCCCAGACUCCUACGGGAGGCAGCAGUGGGGAAUAUUGCGCAAUGGGCGGAAGCCUGACGCAGCGACGCCGCGU